GUGUCAGCCGCCGCGGUAAUACGUAGGUGGCAAGCGUUGUCCGGAUUUACUGGGCGUAAAGCGAACGCAGGCGGACCUUUAAGUAGGAAGUGAAAGGUUGGAGCUCAACUCUAACACUGCUCCCUAUACUGGAGGUCUUGAGUGCCGGAGAGGAAGACGGAACAAGUUGUGUAGCGGUGAAAUGCGUUGAUAUAACUUGGAACACCAAUGGCGAAAGCAGUCUUCUGGACGGAUACUGACGCUCAGGUUCGAAAGCCAAGGUAGCAAACAGGAUUAGAUACCCGCGUAGUCC
rnacentral:rRNA from 1 species